AUUCCAGCUCCAAUAGCGUAUAUUAAAGUUGUUGCAGUUAAAAAGCUCGUAGUCGGAUUUUGGCAUCACGCCGAACUGUCUGCCGAUUGGUAAGUACGGUUUGGCGGGUGCUUCCUUCCGGAGGCUCGUUCCCUUCUUCAUUGAAGGGUUCGUUGGUUCCGGGUCUUUUACUUUGAGAAAAUUAGAGUGUUCAAAGCAGGCCUAUGCUCUGAAUAGGUUAGCAUGGAAUAAUAGAAUAGGACUUUGGUUCUAUUUUGUUGGUUUCUAGGACCGAAGUAAUGAUUAACAGGGACAGUCAGGGGCACUCGUAUUCCGCCGAGAGAGGUAAAAUUCUCAGACCAGCGGAAGACGAACCACUGCGAAAGCAUUUGCCAGGGAUGUUUUCAUUA
rnacentral:rRNA from 1 species